rnacentral:rRNA from 1 species
UACGGAGGGUGCAAGCGUUUAAUCGGAAUUACUGGGCGUAAAGCGUGCGUAGGUGGUUCGUUAAGUCCGUUGUGAAAGCCCCGAGCUCAACUUGGGAAUUGCAGUGGAUACUGGCGAGCUAGAGUGCGGUAGAGGAAGGUGGAAUUCCCGGUGUAGCGGUGAAAUGCGUAGAGAUCGGGAGGAACACCAGUGGCGAAGGCGGCCUUCUGGACCAGCACUGACACUCAAGCACGAAAGCGUGGGGAGCAAACAGG